CAUUUCAAGGCUCAAAAGAGGAUGUUUUAUGUCUCCUCUUAAUGUGAAAUCUAUAAACCAAAAGAGAAAGAUACAAUUAAACAUAUUUCAUAAAAUUUAAAAAAUAGCAUGGAUGUGGGACAAGAAUGCUAAAUGUGACGGUGUAGAUAGCGUGGAUCAUUAAACCACUGGAUGUGGUUAAAAGGAAAUGCGUACUGGAGUGAAAACUGCCACUGAUCCUUCUUUGCCAACACAAGACCAAUCCUUCGAAGCAGAUGAAAUGGACCGCCCCUAUUUUCAUCCAAGCUGGAUUGAGGCUUGCUAUAAUUUUGACACGAGCUCCUAAAAUUCAGUUCUUGUGGUGACGUUAAGUCUUUUCAGAAGCAGAGGCAACAUAUCCAGCAUUAGUGCUCCUCCAUCACUUUCAGUUAUGUUUUUAAAGGAUAAUCCCUUUACACGUCUAUUUGACCGCAUCCAACGAAAACACAGAUAUAGUCGGAUAUAAUAGGAAUUUUACCUAUAUUUUGAAUUAUAACAAAACUCAUACCAGAUGGGCUGUCUGGAGUCUCGUGGGGUAGACAGGGCUAUUGAGUUUAUAUACUACAUUUCAAGGUAAUAUGAUACCAGUUUCUUUUCAUUCCAAAAUGAUGGGGAAAUAAAUCGAUUGGGGGCGCGGGGUGCGGCGGUUAAGUCCCUGUCCUGGUGCGGGCUACUCAUACUUGGAAGCACGGAUAGCCAACGCAUCACGUAAACUGCAGACAGCAAUGUAAAUAAUAAGUGUAUUUAAUGUGCUUUUUAAAAAAAAUGAAAUUCAUGCCUAUUGCCCUGCUUUAUGAUGUGAGACUCUGACUCUCCGUGUUCACAGCGGACCUUGAUUUAAUGUCAUACAAUUAAGGCACGCGGUGAAUGCCAAGAGCGGAGCCUUCAACCUUCGGCAUCAUACCCGAGCGACCUCUUCAGCGCACAACUCGCUAUAGAAGUAGCUGUUAUUUCUAAGUUUAUUAUUAAUUUUGUAACUACAAAAUGAAAUAAUCGAUUUUUGACAAGGUAAGAAUACAAAUAAGCACACACACACA